rnacentral:rRNA from 1 species
GACGUAGGGCGCGAGCGUUGUCCGGAUUUAUUGGGCGUAAAGAGCUCGUAGGCGGCUUGUCGCGUCGACUGUGAAAUCCCGCGGCUCAACUGCGGGUCUGCAGUCGAUACGGGCAGGCUAGAGUUCGGUAGGGGAGAUCGGAAUUCCUGGUGUAGCGGCGAAAUGCGCAGAUAUCAGGCGGAACACCCCGUGGCGAAGGCGGCCAGCUGGGCCGUCCCUGACGCUGAGGCGGCGAAGGCGUGGGGAGCGAACGGG